rnacentral:rRNA from 1 species
UACAGAGGGUGCGAGCGUUAUUCGUUUUUAUUGGGCGUAAAGGGUAAGUAGGUGGCAAUAAGGACCAACUGAAAAAAGCUAGGGCAGGCACCUUAGACAACCGGUUGGCUAACACAUUGCUUUGAGAAAAAGGGGGGUGAGGAGAAUGUCCAGAGUAGAAGUCGAAUGCUGAAAUACUGGAUGGACUACCAUUUAGCGAAGGCGCCUUUCCAUCUUUUUCUGACGCUGAGGUACGAAGGCAUGGGGAGCAAACAGG